rnacentral:rRNA from 1 species
UACGGAGGGUGCAAGCGUUAUUCGGAAUUAUUGGGCGUAAAGGGCGCGUAGGCGGCUUUAUAAGUCAGAUGUGAAAUCCCGGAGCUUAACUCCGGAAGUGCAUUUGAUACUGUAAGGCUUGAGUAUGGGAGAGGGUAGCGGAAUUCCUGGUGUAGAGGUGAAAUUCGUAGAUAUCAGGAGGAACACCGGUGGCGAAGGCGGCUACCUGGACCAAUACUGACGCUGAGGCGCGAAGGCGUGGGGAGCAAACAGGAUUAGAUACCCUGGUAGUCCACGCAGUAAACGUUGAUCACUAGGUGUAGCGGGUAUUGACCCCUGCUGUGCCGCAGCUAACGCAUUAAGUGAUCCGCCUGGGAAGUACGGCCGCAAGGCUAAA